rnacentral:lncRNA from 1 species
GUAAACACUUGAUGUGGUCGUAUCUGAAGCGCUGUCUGAGGUUAAUAAGCUGCAGCCAUGGAUGUGAUCAUGCUGAUCAAGUUUUUGCCUGAAGAUUUUGUCUGCUGCGGCACUGAUGAAUUUACCCCCCUUAAUGAUUUCUUUAUUUUCGUUACCUGGAUCCUCAAAUUUUUGGAGGAGCCUGAACGAUGACUGUGCUUCUGGUCAUAUUAUUAUUUUGAUCGGAAAAGGGUGUGUGCGUGUGUUUGCCUGAGCCCCAAUUUCAAUUGGACGUCAUUUUGUCGACGCCUAUUGAGUAUUGUGUCAUGUAUCUGAACCUAAGCUUCUACAUGUAUUUGCAUGUGGUACACAAUAAUAUUUGAGUAUACUAUCUUGUUCACCUUUCU